rnacentral:rRNA from 1 species
AUGAAUCCCCUGACGCAGGUGAAGCGGACGCAGGUGAUAAACCAGAAGGAGGCGGCGCUGGGCCUCAGCGAGGACGCCUCGUGGCACGCCAAGUUCAGGGGCUCCGCCUACGUCUUCGUCGGCGGCGUCCCCUUCGACCUCACCGAGGGCGACCUCCUCGCCGUCUUCGCGCAGUACGGCGAGGUGGUCGACGUGAACCUCGUGCGCGACAAGGCCACCGGCAAGUCCAAGGGCUUCGCGUUCGUCGCGUAUGAGGACCAGAGGAGCACGGUUCUUGCCGUCGAUAAUUUGAAUGGGGCUAAGGUUCUUGGGAGGAUCAUCAGGGUUGACCAUGUGGAGAAGUACAAGAAGAAGGAGGAGGAGGACGAGGAGGAGCUGCAGAAGAAGAGGGAGGAGCGCGGCGUGUGCUAUGCUUUCCAGAAAGGCGAGUGCAACCGUGGAGAUGCCUGCAAAUAUUCCCAUGAUGAACAGAGAAAUGCAAACACUGGUUGGGGUUCUAAGGAGGAUGACCCAAAAUGGGAGCAUGACAGGCACCGUGGUCCACAAAAUAAGGGGGAAUCCCGUGGCAUCUGCUAUGCUUUCCAGAAAGGCGAAUGCAGUCGGGGAGAUUCCUGCAGAUUUUCGCAUGAUGAGCAGGUAGCUGUCCAGGGCCGUGGCGUCUGCUACGCUUUCCAGAAAGGCGAGUGCAGUCGCGGAGCUUCCUGCAGAUUUUCACAUGAUGAGCAGUCCGUAGCAGAUAUGUCGUUUCGGAGAACAUUCCCACAUUGCCAGAGAGGAAUGCACCAAAAUCCACCAAAGAGCCACAAAAAUUUCCCUGACAGGAAUAAAGAAGAGACGAGAUCAGGGGAUAGGGAUGGUCAAUCCUCAAGAUCAGAGUUGCACAGGGACCGAGAUUCUAGGUCGAGACACGGCGAUAGAGACACAAAAGAUAGUGACAGGAACAGGCACGAGAAAUCCCCCGAGAGAUCAAGAGGUGACAGGCAGAGAGGCGAUGACAGGGGAAGAGAAGAUAGAUCAGACACAAAAGAUAGGGACAGGAACAGGCAUGAGAAAUCCCCUGAGAGAUCAAGAGGCGACAGGCAGAGAGGCGAUGACAGGGGAAGAGAAGAUAGAUCAGAGAGCAGACGGUCUAGGCACGACAGAGACUCUGGUCGCCGUCACGAAAGAAGGGGUGACGAAGAGGAAGAACGGUACCGGAAAUCACGGAGAUAA